rnacentral:rRNA from 1 species
GAUGAACGCUAGCUACAGGCUUAACACAUGCAAGUCGAGGGGCAGCGGUAUCGGAAGCUUGCUUUCGGUAGCCGGCGACCGGCGCACGGGUGAGUAACGCGUAUCGAACCUGCCUCAUACUCGGGAAUAGCCUUGCGAAAGUAAGAUUAAUGCCCAGUGUUUUCAGAGUCCCGCAUGAGGCUUUGAACAAAGAUUUAUCGGUAUGAGAUGGCGAUGCGUCCCAUUAGCUUGUUGGGGGGGUAACGGCCCACCAAGGCAUCGAUGGGUAGGGGGUCUGAGAGGAAGGUCCCCCACAUUGGAACUGAGACACGGUCCAAACUCCUACGGGAGGCAGCAGUGAGGAAUAUUGGUCAAUGGGCGGAAGCCUGAACCAGCCAAGUAGCGUGCAGGAAGACGGCCCUCCGGGUUGUAAACUGCUUUUAGUUGGGAAUAAAACGGGGCUCGUGAGCCCCCUUGCAUGUACCAUCAGGAAAAGGACCGGCUAAUUCCGUGCCAGCAGCCGCCGUAAGAC